rnacentral:tRNA from 1 species
GCGAAAGUGGCGGAAUUGGCAGACGCACCAGACUUAGGAUCUGGCGCCUUUGGCGUGAGGGUUCAACUCCCUCCUUUCGCA